rnacentral:sRNA from 1 species
GUUAUAAUGGUAUUAUGUAAACAGACUUAUUUUACCACUCUUUUGUCAUAUAUUUUUGUUAUAUAUUAAUUCAAACAUCAGCAUUUCAGGAUAGUUUCCAAUGCAAAUAAUAUUCUAUGAAUUUAAGAGGAAUUCAUUGAACCAUUGUUUUUUUCUCACAAAAUGAAAUCACAUGUUUUUUCAUGCUGUGUUCUUCCUCUAGGUGCUUAUCUGGAUGGAUGACAUUAAUUGUAUAGUAUAUCUAACUAUUUAAAUAACAAACCUUUGCAUUAAAGUAUGAAUUCAAACUGUAAUGCAACCGCAAUCAACCAUUAAAAUACAAUGAAAAUAU